rnacentral:rRNA from 1 species
GAUGAACGCUGGCGGCGUGCCUAAUACAUGCAAGUCGAGCGAACAGACGAGGAGCUUGCUCCUCUGACGUUAGCGGCGGACGGGUGAGUAACACGUGGAUAACCUACCUAUAAGACUGGGAUAACUUCGGGAAACCGGAGCUAAUACCGGAUAAUAUAUUGAACCGCAUGGUUCAAUAGUGAAAGACGGUUUUGCUGUCACUUAUAGAUGGAUCCGCGCCGCAUUAGCUAGUUGGUAAGGUAACGGCUUACCAAGGCAACGAUGCGUAGCCGACCUGAGAGGGUGAUCGGCCACACUGGAACUGAGAAACGGUCCAGACUCCUACGGGAGGCAGCAGUAGGGAAUCUUCCGCAAUGGGCGAAAGCCUGACGGAGCAAAGGCGCGUGAGUGAUGAAGGUCUUCGGAUCGUAAAACUCUGUUAUUAGGGAAGAACAAAUGUGUAAGUAACUAUGCACGUCUUGACGGUACCUAAUCAGAAAGCCACGGCUAACUACGUG